rnacentral:piRNA from 1 species
UUCCAGCCAUGAGCUGCUUUAGGGAC